GACAGAGGCCUCAAGCGUUUAGGCGGAAUCACUGGGCUUAAAGCGUGUGUAGGCGGACUUCUAAGUGCCUUGUGAAAUCCCACAGCUUAACUGUGGAACUGCUCGGUAUACUGCUGAUCUUGAGCCACUCAGGGGCUACCGGAAACAAAUGGGUGGAGCGGUGAAAUGCGUAGAUAUCAUUUGGAACGCCAAUGGUGAAAAACAGGGUAGCUGGGGGGUGUGCUGACGCUGAGACACGAAAGCCAGGGGAGCAAAACGGGG
rnacentral:rRNA from 1 species